rnacentral:rRNA from 1 species
UACGGAGGGUGCAAGCGUUAUCCGGAUUCACUGGGUUUAAAGGGUGCGUAGGUGGGCAGGUAAGUCAGUGGUGAAAUCUCCGGGCUUAACCCGGAAACUGCCGUUGAUACUAUCUGUCUUGAAUAUAGUGGAGGUGAGCGGAAUAUGUCAUGUAGCGGUGAAAUGCUUAGAUAUGACAUAGAACACCCAUUGCAAAGGCAGCUCGCUACACUAUCAUUGACACUGAGGCACGAAAGCGUGGGGAUCAAACAGG